UACAGAGGCCUCAAGCGUUAGGCGGAAUCACUGGGCUUAAAGCGUGUGUAGGCGGAUCGUUAAGUGCCUUGUGAAAUCCCACGGCUUAACUGUGGAACGGCUGGGCAUACUGGCGGUCUUGAGCCAUCUAGGGGCGACUGGAACAAACGGUGGAGCGGUGAAAUGCGUAGAUAUCGUUUGGAACGCCAAUGGUGAAAACAGGUCGCUGGGGAUGCGCUGACGCUGAGACACGAAAGCCAGGGGAGCGAACGGG
rnacentral:rRNA from 1 species